rnacentral:rRNA from 1 species
GACAGAGGGUGCAAACGUUGCUCGGAAUCACUGGGCGUAAAGGGCGCGUAGGCGGGAAUGUAAGUCGGGCGUGAAAUCCCCAGGCUCAACCUGGGAACUGCACUCGAAACUGCGUUUCUUGAGUAUCGGAGAGGAAAGCGGAAUUCCUGGUGUAGAGGUGAAAUUCGUAGAUAUCAGGAGGAACACCAGUGGCGAAGGCGGCUCACUGGCCCGAUACUGACGCUGAGGCACGGAAA